rnacentral:rRNA from 1 species
CGUGUAGGUGGGGUGUCAGGCAUCGGGUGAAAUCCCUCGGCUCAACCGAGGAACUGCCUGGUGAACCGGCAUUCUUGAGGCAGGUAGAGGUGGCUGGAACGACAGGUGGAGCGGUGAAAUGCGUAGAUAUCUGUUGGAACGCCGGCGGCGAAAGCGAGCCACUGGGCCUGUCCUGACACUGAGACGCGAAAGCGUGGGAGCAAACA